CACCUUAUCCAUUAUGAUUCUCCGCUCCAUGAACUGUUUUUAUGAAGAGGCACACAGCCAAUCAAAAGGUUUGUGCAUGAAAACCCAAUAUCUACGGUCCACUACUCCAAAAAGAUUUCUGCAAUGUUACACUUCAAACUUCCGCCUUAUCCAUUAUGAUUCUCCGCUUCCUGAACUGUUUUUAUGAAGAGGCACAUAACCAAUCAAAAGGUUUGUGCAUGAAAACCCAAUAUCUACGGUCCACUACUCCAAAAAGAUUUCUGCAAUGUUACACUUCAAACUUCCGCCUUAUCCAUUAUGAUUCUCCGCUC